rnacentral:lncRNA from 1 species
UUUUUCGAUCUCGCUCUCGGUGAUGUGUUGAGUCGCGAGGUAAGACGCCAACCUCUCGUAACGCGCAGCACGGUGCGCAUUCUUGGAGGCCGUGUCAGGGGCCGUGUCAACGCCGGCGUCGCCGUCAUCGUCAUCGCCUUUGGUCCACCACGGCGAAUCGCGCACCGAGGCGGCUUUGCGAUAGCACGCGGCCUCUUCCGUUUGGGCUUGGCGGCGAUGGGCGGCAAUUUCCGGUGUCUCGGUGCCGGUCAGUCGAUGCCACGCCCCGGCCAGGGUGGAGACACCGUGUGCCUCGCCCUCGCGUUGGCGUUGGCGCGCCUCGGUCGCGCACUGUAGAUAAACACGCGCGGCCCUUGCCACGUGCUCUCUCUUCAUGGCGACCGUCUCUCCAUAGGUCGGCCGUUUGUAUUUAGGCAUGGUCUCGGUCGACUGGGCUGGGGCCGGCCGGCUGCCGUCGCCACGGGCAUAAUCGCCCAAGGUUGGGGCAUCGGGUGUGGUCUUUGUCGCGUCGGUGCCGGCAGCACCCGCGUCUGUCGGUGGCGAUUGCGUGUGGUCCAUUGAGUCACGCGACACAGGUACGGCGAUCUCUCUCUCUCUCUCGCCUUGGGAUAUCGCUUUAACGCAAUGGUUUAAUGAAAACGAUAAAACAAGCACACACAGCAGCGUCAAUGUUGGUCGCGCUUGAAUCGUGGGCGGCCUUUUUCCAGGACGAUCGAAUGUGUUUGUUUGGUGUAGAGACUUUUGGCGUGCGCGGGAGCCGACCAACGAGACGAGGGCAAAAUCUUGGUGCGGCUUUUGGAGUCGGCGUGGUUGGUUGGCGGCCGAAAUACCGACCAUAAAAGGCAACUCCAUGUUUUUUGCGCGGCUGUGUGCAAAAAAGGGGAGAAAAAGGUCCGCCAGAAAUGGACCGCCUUUUCUUGUUUGGCCUUUGCCUUUUUUUUGGUCCGCCCGCUCUGCAUCCGAACCACACAUUUUCUCUGUUGAAGAAGACGAAAAAAGAAAAGAAAAGGCGUCGGCUACGGACGGCGCGCCC